UCCGGAGGAUGCAAUCGUUAUCCGGAAUGAUUGGGCGUAAAGCGUCCGCAGGUGGUUGUGUGUGUCUAUUGUCAAAGCAUCAUGCUUAACAUGAUAAAGGCAGUAGAAACUACACGACUAGAGUGCGUUCGGGGCAGAGGGAAUUCCUGGUGUAGCGGUGAAAUGCGUAGAGAUCAGGAAGAACACCGGUGGCGAAAGCGCUCUGCUAGGCCGCAACUGACACUGAGGGACGAAAGCUAGGGGAGAGAAUGGG
rnacentral:rRNA from 1 species